rnacentral:rRNA from 1 species
GACGAACGCUGGCGGCGUGCUUAACACAUGCAAGUCGAACGGAAAGGCCCUGCUUUUGUGGGGUGCUCGAGUGGCGAACGGGUGAGUAACACGUGAGUAACCUGCCCUUGACUUUGGGAUAACUUCAGGAAACUGGGGCUAAUACCGGAUAGGAGCUCCUGCUGCAUGGUGGGGGUUGGAAAGUUUCGGCGGUCGGGGAUGGACUCGCGGCUUAUCAGCUUGUUGGUGGGGUAGUGGCUUACCAAGGCUUUGACGGGUAGCCGGCCUGAGAGGGUGACCGGCCACAGUGGGACUGAGAUACGGCCCAGACUGCUAGGGGAGGCAGAAGUGGGGAAUAUUGCACAAUGGGCGGAAGCCUGAUGCAGCAACGCCGCGUGCGGGAUGACGGCCUUCGGGUUGUAAACCGCUUUCGCCUGUGACGAAGCGUGAGUGACGGUAAUGGGUAAAGAAGCACCGGCUAACUACGUG